UACGGGGGGAGCAAGCGUUGUUCGGAUUUACUGGGCGUAAAGGGCGCGUAGGCGGCCACCGCAAGUCGACUGUGAAAUCUCCGGGCUUAACCCGGAAAGGUCAGCCGAUACUGCGGGGCUAGAGUGCAGAAGGGGCAACUGGAAUUCUCGGUGUAGCGGUGAAAUGCGUAGAUAUCUGGAGGAACACCGGUGGCGAAGGCGGCGUUCGUGGACUGCAACUGACACUGAGGAACGAAAGCCAGGGGAGCAAACGGG
rnacentral:rRNA from 1 species